CCCUUAGAUGCUCUGGGCCGCACGCGCGCUACACUGACCAAUGCAACGAGUUUCUUUCCUUGGCCGACAGGUCUGGGCAAUCUUUGAACAUUGGUCGUGAUGGGGAUAGACUCUUGUAAUUUUUGGUCUUCAACGAGGAAUUCCUAGUAAACGCAAGUCAUCAGCUUGCAUUGAUUACGUCCCUGCCCUUUGUACACACCGCCCGUCGCACCUACCGAUUGAAUGGUCCGGUGAAAUCUCGGGACGGCGGCUCGGUCGCUUGCGUCCGACUGCUGAAACUUGAUUAAACCAUAUCAUUUAGAGGAAGGUGAANUCGUAACA
rnacentral:rRNA from 1 species